UACGGAGGGUGCAAGCGUUAAUCGGAAUUACUGGGCGUAAAGCGUGCGCAGGCGGUUUGUUAAGUCCGUUGUGAAAGCCCCGAGCUCAACUUGGGAAUUGCAGUGGAUACUGGCAGGCUGGAGUACGGUAGAGGAAGGUGGAAUUCCCGGUGUAGCAGUGAAAUGCGUAGAUAUCGGGAGGAACACCUGUGGCGAAAGCGGCUCACUGGACCGCAACUGACGCUGAGGCGCGAAAGCUAGGGGAGCAAACAGG
rnacentral:rRNA from 1 species